GACGAACGCUGGCGGCGUGCCUAAUACAUGCAAGUCGAGCGGACGAAUCGAAAGCUUGCUUUUGAUUCGUUAGCGGCGGACGGGUGAGUAACACGUGGGCAACCUGCCCUUUAUACGGGGAUAACACCGAGAAAUCGGUUCUAAUACCGGAUAACACGAAAUGUCGCAUGACGUUUCGUUGAAAGACGGCGCAAGCUGUCGCUACAGGAUGUGCCCGCGGCGCAUUAGCUAGUUGGUGAGGUAACGGCUCACCAAGGCGACGAUGCGUAGCCGACCUGAGAGGGUGAUCGGCCACACUGGGACUGAGACACGGCCCAGACUCCUACGGGAGGCAGCAGUAGGGAAUCUUCCGCAAUGGACGAAAGUCUGACGGAGCAACGCCGCGUGAGCGAAGAAGGCCUUCGGGUCGUAAAGCUCUGUUGUUAGGGAAGAACAAGUAACGCAGUAACUGGCGUUACCGUGACGGUACCUAACGAGAAAGCCACGGCUAACUACGUG
rnacentral:rRNA from 1 species